rnacentral:rRNA from 1 species
AUUGAACGCUGGCGGCAUGCCUUACACAUGCAAGUCGAACGGUAACGGGCCUUCGGGUGCCGACGAGUGGCGAACGGGUGAGUAAUGCAUCGGAACGUACCUUUCAGUGGGGGACAACGUAGCGAAAGUUACGCUAAUACCGCAUAUUCUGUGAGCAGGAAAGCAGGGGAUCGCACGACCUUGCGCUGAUUGAGCGGCCGAUGUCAGAUUAGCUAGUUGGUGAGGUAAAGGCUCACCAAGGCGACGAUCUGUAGCGGGUCUGGGAGGAUGAUCCGCAACACUGGAACUGAGACACGGUCCAGACUCCUACGGGAGGCAGCAGUGGGGAAUUUUGGACAAUGGGGGCAACCCUGAUCCAGCCAUGCCGCGUGAGUGAAGAAGGCCUUCGGGUUGUAAAGCUCUUUCGGCCGGGAAGAGAUCGUAUGGGCUAAUACCCUGUGCGGAUGACGGUACCGGCAUAAGAAGCACCGGCUAACUACGUGCCAGCAGCCGCCGUAACAC